rnacentral:rRNA from 1 species
UACGUAGGGGGCAAGCGUUGUCCGGAUUUAUUGGGCGUAAAGAGCGUGUAGGCGGCUUGGCAAGUCGGGUGUGAAACCUCCAGGCUCAACCUGGAGACGCCACUCGAUACUGCUAUGGCUAGAGUCCGGUAGGGGACCACGGAAUUCCUGGUGUAGCGGUGAAAUGCGCAGAUAUCAGGAGGAACACCGGUGGCGAAGGCGGUGGUCUGGGCCGGCACUGACGCUGAGGAGCGAAAGCGUGGGUAGCAAACAGG